GUCAGAAUGGCCGAGUGGUCUAAGGCGCUAGACUCAAGCUCUAGAUAGUGGUGUGGGUUCAAAUCCUACUUCUGACA